rnacentral:rRNA from 1 species
CGGGGGGCAGCACCAGUGAGGAAUAUUGCGCAAUGGGGGAAACCCUGACGCAGCGACGCCGCGUGGAUGAUGAAGGCCUUAGGGUCGUAAAAUCCUGUCAGGUGGGAAGAAGUGGAUAUAGAUUAAUACUCUAUUUCUUUGACGGUACCACCAAAGGGAGCACCGGCUAACUCCGUGCCAGCAGCCGCGGUAAUACGGAGGGUGCAAACGUUGUUCGGAAUUACUGGGCGUAAAGCGCGCGUAGGCGGUUUGUUAAGUCAGAUGUGAAAGUCCAUGGCUCAACAAUGGAAGUGCAUUUGAAACUGGCAGACUUGAGUACUGGAGGGGGUGAUGGAAUUCCCGGUGUAGAGGUGAAAUUCGUAGAUAUCGGGAGGAAUACCGGUGGCGAAGGCGAUCACCUGGCCAGAUACUGACGCUGAGGUGCGAAAGCGUGGGGAGCAAACAGGAUUAGAUACCCCUGUAGUC